UACACUACAUAUUUCUACACAAUUUACAAAGUGAUAAGCUGACACUCCUACAAAGCUGAAAACAUGAGCCAUUUCCUAUAGUUGCAAGAAUAGUCAGCAACAAUCCCUCCAAUAAUAGUUCUUCACCAGUUAGUUAAACAUAUUUUUGUUUCUAUCAGCAUAUAUAAAGGAAGAUAAAGCAAGAUCUGUCAACGCCAAUUCAAUCUAAUUACAUAAAUCAAAUCUUAUUUGAGAGAUGACAUUUUACUUGAAAUUAAUGUGUGAGAAUGCAAAGAAGCAGAAGAAGUUCCAAACCAGUGCUCACCUUGUCUUCUUCCCCCAAAGAAGCCGGAAUGGAUGAAGCUCAGAGACAGUUUCCAAAUGCUGCUCCAAUUGCUAUUGCAGGCUAGUUUCACUGCAUAUAUAUAUAAUGCAAGUAUUAUAACUUGAGCUUGAAUUCUAAGUGGAGAGAGAGAGGGGAGGGGAGAAAGAGAUAACUGACUCCAUGGUGAGAAAAAGCCUCAGAAGAUCAUCCCCUUCUACGACUCAAAUCUACCACAAUCAAGAAAACAUUGAUCAAACAAUUAACAAUAAUACUACUAAAAUCAAAUUUAAAAAAAUACAAUGACCCAGAUCUAGGGUAGGAGCCUCUCCGCCGCAAUGCCGUCUCCCACCAAUGCCCCUGGAUCGCCGAAAUCCACCACCAGGUCGCCGCCCCCCUCCACUUCCUCCAACCUCAACUUCAACGGCACCUCAUCGCCUAUCCUCAUCGCGCUGUCGUCUCCCGAUAAACAACCCAUGAAAGGAAAAAUUAGAGCUUUGUUUGGAGUAUUUGGAGAGGGAUGUGGGGAUCGCUUGGAGUAACUGCCGAAUAUGUGGAGGUAGGGAUGUCAAUGCAGCCCGAAACCCGUGGGCCGACCCGAAUAACCCGACAAAAUUAGAGGGUUAGGGUUGAAAAAUCGCAACCCGAAAAAACCUCCAGCCCGAUUAGUCCGCACCCGACUAACCCGGAACCCGAUAGGGCUAGCCCGAAAACCCGAUGGGCUGACCCGGUGGGCUGACAGAAUUGUGACUGAUGCAUCCAGUUACAAUUUCUGCUAUGUUUAGAUCUAUGGUAUUUGCUUAAAUAUAUAUAUGUAGCCUCAUUAAAAAAAAGUGAAAUUAAUUAGUUAGAAUAUAUAUGUUGUGUGUGUGUGUGUGUGCAAUCUCAUAUAAAAAAAGUGAAAUUAAUUACGGUUUUUUUGUAGAAAUUGAUUAUUAGUAUCUCAUUAGUUAGAAAUUAAUUAUUAGUAUCUCAUUUUAAAGUGAUACCAUUUUUUUUUUCUGUCAAUGAGACGUGCAUGGCAAAUCCACUAAUUAUUCAGUAAUAAUCCAGAUUGAUUCUAGUGCAUUGAUACAUGCUAAAUUUUACUAUCUCAUUUUAAUAUAAUUUUGUUUAUGUAAUCUUGAAUAUCUUAUAUUUUUGCAUUUCAUGCUUUGCUAUAUAAUUUAUAUCUUUAAUAUCUAUGUAUAUUUUAUACAUUAUACAUUAGAUCAUUAGGAAUAAUAAAAUACAAAUGAUAAUUUUAUUUUUACGCCUUUAACCUGAUUAGCCCGAUGGGCUAGCCCGAAACCCGAAAGUUUAGGGUUAGGGUUGAAGAUUUACAACCCGAAAAAAUCUCCAACCCGAUUAGCCCGCACCCGACUAACCCGGAACCCGAUAGGGCUAGCCCGAAAACCCGAUGGGCUGGCCCGAUUGACAUCCCUAUGUGGAGGGUUUUAGCAUCUGGCGGUAAAAUGAAAACGUUUUGUGAAGAUUAGCGGUAAAAUAAAAUGUUUUCUAAUUUUUG
rnacentral:lncRNA from 1 species